rnacentral:rRNA from 1 species
ACUCAAAGGAAUAGACGGGGCUCCGCACAAGCAGUGGAUCAUGUGGUUUAAUUUGAUGCUACGCGAAGAACCUUACCCACCCUUGACAUCCCGAUCGUAGGACUAGGAGACUAGACCGUCAGUUCGGCUGGAUCGGUGACAGGUGCUGCAUGGCCGUCGUCAGCUCGUGUCGUGAGAUGUUGGGUUAAGUCCCGCAACGAGCGCAACCCUUGUCGUGUGUUGAAUUUUUCACGCGAGACCGCCCGGGCCAACCGGGAGGAAGGUGGGGAUGACGUCAGGUCAGCAUGGCCCUUACGGGUGGGGCUACACACGUGAUACAAUGGCCGGAACAACGGGUCGCGAACCCGCGAGGGGGAGCUAAUCCCAUCAAAUCCGGUCCCAGUUCGGAUUGUAGGCUGAAACUCGCCUGCAUGAAGUUGGAAUUGCUAGUAAACGUAGGUCAGCACACUACGUUGAAUACGUUCCCGGAGCUUGUACACACCGCCCGU